GGGCGAUCUGGUUGCGACAUCUGUCACCCCAUUGAUCACCAGAGUUGAUUCGGCUGAUAUAGGGGGCUAGGAAGGUGUCCCCUUCCUCUGUUACCGUUCCGUAUGUGUCCCUCCCAAAGCAAAGAGGACAACCAUCCCUGAUAGAGGAGGACCAGUCUUCAGUCGAGGGUAUACGAAUAGCUGUGCUCCCCUGCUAGAACCUCCAAACAAGCUCUCAAGGUCAUUAAAACUCUUAGCUCAACUAAUAGUACCUAAAGAAUAUUUGCUUGUGCUAAAAAUAAGUUAUGGAGU
rnacentral:snRNA from 1 species